GCCAUAACAUGAUAUUUUGGUCAUUAUAUAAAUGACUUAAAGAAACAGAAUUUGCACAUACUGCAUUUUGAAUUUGUCCCCUAGAAGUGUCUAUUUGAAGAAGGUAUAGUUCUAAAAUCAUACUACCAUUGCCAAUCAUCCCCCCUUACUCCAAGUCCUGAAAUUAACACAGAUUAAAGACAAAUUUAGUAACACAUUUCUGCUCUCCA
rnacentral:lncRNA from 1 species